UAUAAUUUAAAGUAGGGCCUGCCCACUGAAAAUUUAAAGGGCCGCAGUAUCUUAACUGUGCAAAGGUAGCAUAAUCAUUAGUUUUUUAAUUGAAAGCUGGAAUGAAUGGUUUGAUGAGAAAGUAGCUGUCUCAGUAUUAAUUUUUUAAAAUUUUAUUUUUAAGUUAAAAAGCUUAAAUAAAAAUAAAAGACGAGAAGACCCUAUAGAGUUUUAUUAAUGAUUAUUUUUUUAAUUUAAGAAUUUAUUUUUAAAAAAAUAAUAAUUAAUUUGAUUGGGGUGAUUAAAAAAUUAAUUUAACUUUUUUUAUAUAAAAACAUUAAUUUAU
rnacentral:rRNA from 1 species